rnacentral:lncRNA from 1 species
CAUGCAAAAGUUUCUUUUUAUUUCCUUUUUUUAUUCAAUUUCUAAUAAUCUUUAUUUAUUUUGUGUAUUUUAUUUCUUAAUGAUUUCUGUUACAAGAUAAAUAUUUGCUUACUGAAUGCUUAAGAAUAAUACAGAUAAAGAUGAUAUUAUUAAUAAUAAAAUGUUCACGUCAUAUUUUUACAGACUCAGCGAAAUAGAAAAGUUAUUAUAUACACACACACACAUGUUUAUCUAUGUAUGUGUACGUAUAUGUAUAUAUAUAUAUAUAUAUAUAUAUAUAUAUAUAUAUAUAUAUAUAUAUAUAUAUGUAUUUAAGUAUGUAUGUAUGUGUUUAUGUAUGGAUAUUACACACUGACACAGAUGAUGAGUAUUAACGCUGUACCGUUUUUCGAAAAUGAGAAAUUUUUAUUUCCAAAUCUUGUUAUUAUCAUCCCGGUCAAAUGGCGAAAAUUUUUAGUGAAGUCGUGUUUAUAUUUUCAUUUGCUUUUGUUACUCUUUCGUUUCUUCUUUGUUAUUUACUAAUGUCAAACGGAUGCAAAAGUUCCUUCGUUAUAAACCUGCUUCUGGAACAUAGUUUAAUCAACUCAGCGACAAAACUUGAAACUUUUUGUCUUCUGUAAAGUCUUUGUCAAGUAAUAGAUAAAACAACGAAUGGCCAACAAGUAAUAACCUCUUGACACUAAUCGGAGAUAACACCAAAUGCUCUAUAAAUCAGAUUAAUGGCGACACAAAGCUGAUAGAUAUUCAGCUACUGUAUUAGUAGCAAGGUAUAAGGAACGCCAUUGGUGCAGUCAAGCAUGUUUUGGAAGGAUCGGGCUGAGAUUAAAUUUCUGUUCUUCCCUCACACCAAAUAUACUUUCAUCUUUUCUUCUCAUUUCUCUUCAUUCUUCUCAAGCUUGUUAUCUGUUCUCUUCUUUCUUUUUCUUAUUUUUUUCCUUUCUCUUGCAAAUCAUUCUUUCUUAACUCUCGAUCAGUUCUGAGUUUCUGGCCCUUGUUCUUAAGUUUCAUCCUCCAAUGAGAGUUACAGAGCAGUCGAAUUGGUUGCGUAUUCAUUUACCUGCACACCGAGUAUCGACACUUUAUUGCCCAUUCAUUGUGACUGCGGUCUAUCUAUAGUCAAGCCAUUUAAAUUUCACUGACCUACAGCGUCUAGCUGUAAGUUACUUACUACCUUGUAGAAAUAUAACGAAUUCCUUCAGGUAGCUUAUCUUCGAAUAAGUGGUGAAUAUUUCACUUUGCAGUGCUGAAUUCAAAUCCAAGAUUUCCAUGAAAAGAGUUUGUUUGGAGGUAGUCUAGAUUAGGGGCUGACUUGCUUUAAAAGUAAAAAAUCUAGUAAAUUUGAUAUUGGAUUCACCGAUCCUUCUUGUAGUAGUAGUAGUAGUAGUAGUAGUAGUAGUAGUAGUAGUAUAGUAGUAGUAGUAGUAGUAGUAGUAGUAGUAGUAGUAGUAGUAGUAGUAUAGUGGUGGGUUUAUUGGUUGUGGUGGAGGUGGUGGUAGUAAUAGUAGUAGUAGUAGUUUCUUUCUUUGGUAUAUCUCUCUUUCUCUCUUUUACUUCACUUUGUUCCUAAGAAAUUGCUUCUUUAUUUUAAAUCGUCUCUAAAUCUUUCAUCCUUUAACACUUUUUUUACACAGACAGGUAUACAGUAAUUUAAUUUUUGUGCUUAAAUACUUUUUUGCAUUUAAACAACGAAAGCGUACCUAGGCAAUUCUCCGUAUCAUUUUUUUUUCAAUCAAAAUAUUCAAAUAUACAUUUAUACCCAUAUAUACAUAAAUAAAUAGAAAGGUACAUAUUUUAGAGCACGUAUAAAUAUAUUUCCAUGCAUUCAUACAUAGACAUGAUGAUAACAAAUGCACAAAACGAACAUAGAAGCUAUAUUUUAUACAGUUAGACUCCCAGAAAGAUUCCAGUUGCGUUCCAAUUUAGUUUUUAAAUAAACAGUAUAAAUUUAAUCGUGAAAAAAUUUAUGACUCCUGCUGAUAUAUUUCAAUAUAAUUUUUUAAACAAAGCUGUGAAUCUGGUUCCUUUUUAGAGAAAACUUUUAGAAACAUAUAAAAAAUAACCAGAGUCGUACACACGGCAGCACACUUACAUGUAGAGUACAUAUUUUUAUUGGUUACAUACAUAUCAAUGUAUAUGAUUGUGUGAUGUGUGUGUAUCUAUCUAUCUAUCUAUCUAUCUAUCUAUCUAUCUAUCUAUCUAUCUAUCUAUCUAUCUAUCUCUCUAUCUCUCUCUAUAUAUAUAUAUAUAUAUAUAUAUAUAUAUAUAUAUAUAUAUAUCUGUCUGUCU